UGCUUAACACAUGCAAGUCGAACGAAGAGCGAUGGAAGCUUGCUUCUAUCAAUCUUAGUGGCGAACGGGUGAGUAACGCGUAAUCAACCUGCCCUUCAGAGGGGGACAACAGUUGGAAACGACUGCUAAUACCGCAUACGAUCCAACCUCGGCAUCGAGGAUGGAUGAAAGGUGGCCUCUAUUUAUAAGCUAUCACUGAAGGAGGGGAUUGCGUCUGAUUAGCUAGUUGGAGGGGUAACGGCCCACCAAGGCAAUGAUCAGUAGCCGGUCUGAGAGGAUGAACGGCCACAUUGGGACUGAGACACGGCCCAGACUCCUACGGGAGGCAGCAGUGGGGAAUCUUCCGCAAUGGACGAAAGUCUGACGGAGCAACGCCGCGUGAGUGAUGACGGCCUUCGGGUUGUAAAGCUCUGUUAAUCGGGAC
rnacentral:rRNA from 1 species